UCAAUGCAGCAAUCCCAAGGAUGCACUUUUUGGGUAAUUAUAUUAUAACAGUAACACACAAUAGCUGCAGUACGAGGUAAUAUCAUUUAAUUGUCAAUAAUAAUAAUAAUAAUAACCGAAAUUCAAACUAUAUAGUAUAUGCAUGUCAUAUCAAAUUUAAUUAAUUCUAAUUAUGCUAUUGUUGUUACACAACGCAUUACUUGAGGGUCCGUCGCAUAUCAACAAUGCAGAAGCGAGGAAAUAUCCUAUCCAUGUGAAAAGGACAAUACGUAUAGCCCCAAAGAGGACAUCAUUACAUACCAUUGCAUCGCAAACAUCCAAGUUAGUCAUUAAUGAUACACACACAGCAGCUUAAAAGUGUUGUUAAAAUCACUAGGUAUCAAGAUUGUCACAAAUUAGGAUACUAGGACACAAGCCUAGCUGCGGAGAAAGUAUUAUUUAUCCAAAUUUGAUAUAUUUAGUGAUGAGACGACAAUAGAUGAAGUGCCACCAAUUA